rnacentral:rRNA from 1 species
GGGAGGCUGCAGUGGGGAAUUUUGGACAAUGGGGGGAAACCCUGAUCCAGCAAACGCCGCGUGAGUGAAGAAGGCCUUCGGGUUGUAAAGCUCUUUUGUUAGGGAAGAAAAGUCGAGCGCUAAUACCGCUCGAUGCUGACGGUACCUAAAGAAUAAGCACCGGCUAACUACGUGCCAGCAGCCGCGGUAAUACGUAGGGUGCAAGCGUUAAUCGGAAUUAUUGGGCGUAAAGGGUGCGUAGGCGGAUACGUAAGCUUAAUGUGAAAUCCCUGGGCUUAACCCAGGAAUGGCAUUAAGAACUGCGUGUCUAGAGUUCGGUAGAGGGGGGUAGAAUUCCAUGUGUAGCGGUGAAAUGCGUAGAUAU